UUUCACCAGUUUCUUUUCACGAAUACCGAGAGAAACCGAGCUGCGUUCUUCGUGUUCUUCGUAAUCAAACGAAGAUUUGAAGGUGUUAUUGGAAUCCGAUGGAGGCGUAUGAAUAGUCAAAACGAAGCUAUCGACGCGUAGAAUCAAGUUUAAUCAUCCGUUUAUAUGCAGAUUCAACAGGUGAUUUUAGAUUAUUUUUCUAAAAUUCGAGUUUAUAUGAUUUAAAUGAUGAAUUUUUGCAAACGAUUCCGUUUAUGUGAUUUGAUGAUUCUAUGAUGUAGAGCAUGUUUUUCUCGUCGUUUUGGUAUAUUAUAUGUCAAAAACGGAGUUCAAUAACAUGUAGAAAAGUCAGUUUGAUUAUUGAAACUGUGUUCUUGGUGUUCUUGAGCUUGUUGCCGGAAAAGUUUGAAUUUUGGCCGGAAAAUGGGUUCCGCUAAAUCUGGGCAGUAGUGGUAUAUAUGAAUAGAAAGAGGAGAGAAAGGGGAGUAUGCUGGUGUGCUUGGUUUGAGCGGAGGUGGCUCGAAUCGCCGCCAUCGGCGGCGGGAAGUCGCCGACUUCGGCCGGAUUUUCCGGCGAAUUCGCGCGACUUCUGCCUAAUUAAAGAUGGGGGAUUGAUUUAUGGGUGUGUGUACUACUGAUCUGGAGUAGAUGGUGAGUGGAGGACGCCUGGAAACGAAUUUCCGGCGAGUUAGUGUGGUGGCCGGCGGCUUAUUGCUGUUUGGUCACCGAAGUUUUGAAGAUGAUGAAGUUUUUGUACUCAGGUUUUGAAACUUGUGAAUUACCCCCUGUAACUUUGAAAAAUUGCACUUUAAACCCUGGACAAAACUUUCAAAAGUUUACACUUUAAACCUUUGAUUUUAAUUUUCAAAAAUUGUUUUAUUUAAUUAUUUUAAUUUCAAUAAAAUGCUUUUUAAUUAUUUCUUUAUUCAAAAAUAAAUCUAAAUUAGUUUGUUAAUUAAUUUUAAUUAGUAAUUAAUUAUUUAAUUGGUCAAUUAAUUUAAAUAUUAAUUGAUUAAUUAUUUUAAUUAAUUAUUAAUUGAUUUUAAUUGAUUAAUUAAUUGGAUUUAAUUAAUCCUUUUUGAUUUAAAAAUUCCGAAAAAUAGUUUCGAGCUUUAAAAUAUUUUUCCAAAUUAUUUUCAAGGCUCGAUAAUUGUUUAUGAAUGAUUUCAAGUCCAAUUUCAAGUAUUUGGGACUUGAUUAUUUAUCCGAAAAGUGAUUCUUUUAUCCAUUUUAAUUCCGAAAAAUGUUUAAAAAUUCCAGAAAAUUCCCGAAAAAUCAUUUUUAACCCAAGAGUUGAUUUGAUAUCAAUUGGGGUGGGAAACCUUAUGUGUAAUGUGUUGUCUGCUAUCGGUGUAAGGUAUUAUAUAUUGAGAGCGGAGUCAGAAAACGGUUUUGGUCAUAACUUUUGAUCCGUAAGUCGGAAUCAAGUGAAACGAAAAAGAGAUUAAAGCUUAUAAAGUCUAUUUUAAUGUGACAUAAUAAUAUGAUGGAGUCGAGAAUGUGAAUAAUUGUUGUUAAAUGUGCAAAAUGUGAUUAUAUGUUAUUGGAUUGUUAUUAAUUGAUGAUUACGUGAUAUAUAUGUCUAUUCCUGAUUUUAUAUACGUGAUAAAUGACUUAUAUGACAUAGUGUCAUGAUUUGAUUAAUAUUGGGUAAGGACAUAUGGAUUAUAGGAAUUGGAAUUGGUUGAUUGGUUGUUGGACAAAAUAGGAUAACAUGUGGAUAGUCCUACAAAUAGACGAGACGCUGUCAAAUUAUCGAUAGGAUUUAUAUGAUAUUUAAUUGAUAAUAUGUUAUGUGGAAUAUGACUUGACUAUAUGGUAGAGUCAAAGCAUGAUUAUGUGUUAAGUGAUAUGUGAUAAGUUUAAAGGGGUAUAUAAGUGGGUAUCGAUAUACGUGGUAUGUAUAUGCGAUAUAUUGUUUAGUGACUAUAGUAUUAUCUUAUUCUCGUUAAGGAUUUGGACGAGACGUGGAUGGCCGAAGACGUUCAGAAGGACAAGUGGUGUUCCAAAGCGAAUAAAGAAUGAGUCGAGUAAGCGAAGCGAUGUGGCGAAUAGAGUAUAGCUAGAGAUGGUCUAGAGAUUAUGAGUUGCAUAGAUUGUGAAAGUGGAAAGAUGAGAAUGAG
rnacentral:lncRNA from 1 species